rnacentral:rRNA from 1 species
GUGGGGAAUAUUGGACAAUGGGCGAAAGCCUGAUCCAGCCAUGCCGCGUGUGUGAAGAAGGUCUUCGGAUUGUAAAGCACUUUAAGUUGGGAGGAAGGGCAGUAAGUUAAUACCUUGCUGUUUUGACGUUACCGACAGAAUAAGCACCGGCUAACUUCGUGCCAGCAGCCGCGGUAAUACGAAGGGUGCAAGCGUUAAUCGGAAUUACUGGGCGUAAAGCGCGCGAAGGUGGUUUUGUAAGUUGGAGGUGAAAUCCCCGGGCUCAACCUGGGAACUGCCUCAAAAACUGCAUGACUAGAGUACGGUAGAGGGUAGUGGAAUUUCCUGUGUAGCGGUGAAAUGUGUAGAUAUAGGAAGGAACACCAGUGGCGAAGGCGACUACCUGGACUGAUACUGACACUGAGGUGCGAAAGCGUGGGGAGCAAACAGGAUUAGAAACCCGAGUAGUCC